rnacentral:rRNA from 1 species
AUUGAACGCUGGCGGCAGGCCUAACACAUGCAAGUCGAACGAGAGGCGGAAGGGUGAGCAAUGUCUGGGAAACUGCCUGAUGGAUGGGGAUAACUAAUGGAAACGGUAGCUACUAACGCAGACAUGCGUAUGAGUCGAGAUGGGAUUAGAUAGUAGGUGGGGUAAAGGCUCACCUAGGCGACUAUCCCUAGCUGGUCUGAGAGGAUGACCAGCCACACUGGAACUGGGACACGGUCCAGACUCCUACGGGAGGCAGCAGUGGGGAAUAUUGCACAAUGGGCGCAAGCCUGAUGCAGCCAUGCCGCGUGUAUGAAGAAGGCCUUCGGGUUGUAAAGUACUUUCAGCGGGGAGGCGUUACCCUCAGAAGAAGCACCGGCUAACUCCGUGCCAGCCGCCGCGGUAAUAC